GACGAACGCUGGCGUCGUGCUUAACACAUGCAAGUCGAACGGAAAGGCCCUGCUUUUGUGGGGUGCUCGAGUGGCGAACGGGUGAGUAACACGUGAGUAACCUGCCCUUGACUUUGGGAUAACUUCAGGAAACUGGGGCUAAUACCGGAUAGGAGCUCCUGCUGCAUGGUGGGGGUUGGAAAGUUUCGGCGGUUGGGGAUGGACUCGCGGCUUAUCAGCUUGUUGGUGGGGUAGUGGCUUACCAAGGCUUUGACGGGUAGCCGGCCUGAGAGGGUGACCGGCCACAUUGGGACUGAGAUACGGCCCAGACUCCUACGGGAGGCAGCAGUGGGGAAUAUUGCACAAUGGGCGGAAGCCUGAUGCAGCAACGCCGCGUGCGGGAUGACGGCCUCCGGGUUGUAAACCGCUUUCGCCUGUGACGAAGCGUGAGUGACGGUAAUGGGUAAAGAAGCACCGGCUAACUACGUG
rnacentral:rRNA from 1 species